UAUUAUAUAUAUAUAUGUAUAUAAAACAAAAGAAAAAAAAAAAAGAAGGAAGAAACAUAAUAGUAGAAACGAAACAGAGAGGGAAGGAAGGAAAGAAAGAAAAGAAAGAAAAAAAGGAAAAAUUUAAGGUUUGAAGCUUGAAGUUUAAUUUGCUAAUGUUGUCUCGAGAAGUUUCGGCUAAGUAACGAAAUAGCAAAGUCGACGAGGAAAAGCUUGGAAAAGCUUGGAAAAUACGGUUAAGUAAAGAUAGAACGUUGAAUCAGCAUCCCAGGCCGAUCCCAAAUUCAAUGAGGUAAAGUGUGUUAAUUAUGGGUAAUGGCAUGUACCUAGGAUGUCUUAUGUGCGUGUCAUUUUGAAAUUGUAAAUGUAAGGAUGAAAUAAAUAAAUUUAAGGUUGGUUAUGGUAUAAAA